GGGGGUGACUGGUUUCGACUUGGGACGGUGGUCCUGGGAGAAGCGGGUCGAGGAUCCAGGGUUGUCUCGUUAACGAUCUCUGGGAAAACAAUAAGUGCCAAUUCUACGCGCACUGACUUUGCUCUCGCCGCCUGAUCGGUGAUCAAAGGGUCAGCUCGGAUGUGCCUGUCGUCCGAAAUCUGGCCUGGUUAAGCAGGCUUACUCGGCUGGCGUCGUCCGCGCGCCGGCACGAGGAAAUUCAGCGGACUGGGCCUGUCAGCGACAUGUCGGCGUGAGCGC
rnacentral:tmRNA from 1 species